rnacentral:lncRNA from 1 species
CAAGAACAUAAAGUUAAAAUAUAUGAAUUUCCAGAAACAGAUGAUGAAGAAGAAAAAAAACUUGUUAAAAAGAUAAAGGACCAUUUACCUCUUGCUGUGGUGGGUAGUAAUACUAUCAUUGAAGUUAAUGGCAAAAGGGUCAUAGGAAGGCAGUAUCCUUGGAGUGUUGCUGAAGUUGAAAAUGGUGAACAUUGUGAUUUUACAGUUUUAAGAAAUAUGUUGAUAA